rnacentral:rRNA from 2 species
AGAGUUUGAUCCUGGCUCAGGAUGAACGCUGGCGGCGUGCCUAAUACAUGCAAGUCGAGCGAACGGACGAGAAGCUUGCUUCUCUGAUGUUAGCGGCGGACGGGUGAGUAACACGUGGAUAACCUACCUAUAAGACUGGGAUAACUUCGGGAAACCGGAGCUAAUACCGGAUAAUAUUUUGAACCGCAUGGUUCAAAAGUGAAAGACGGUCUUGCUGUCACUUAUAGAUGGAUCCGCGCUGCAUUAGCUAGUUGGUAAGGUAACGGCUUACCAAGGCAACGAUGCAUAGCCGACCUGAGAGGGUGAUCGGCCACACUGGAACUGAGACACGGUCCAGACUCCUACGGGAGGCAGCAGUAGGGAAUCUUCCGCAAUGGGCGAAAGCCUGACGGAGCAACGCCGCGUGAGUGAUGAAGGUCUUCGGAUCGUAAAACUCUGUUAUUAGGGAAGAACAUAUGUGUAAGUAACUGUGCGCAUCUUGACGGUACCUAAUCAGAAAGCCACGGCUAACUACGUGCCAGCAGCCGCGGUAAUACGUAGGUGGCAAGCGUUAUCCGGAAUUAUUGGGCGUAAAGCGCGCGUAGGCGGUUUUUUAAGUCUGAUGUGAAAGCCCACGGCUCAACCGUGGAGGGUCAUUGGAAACUGGAAAACUUGAGUGCAGAAGAGGAAAGUGGAAUUCCAUGUGUAGCGGUGAAAUGCGCAGAGAUAUGGAGGAACACCAGUGGCGAAGGCGACUUUCUGGUCUGUAACUGACGCUGAUGUGCGAAAGCGUGGGGAUCAAACAGGAUUAGAUACCCUGGUAGUCCACGCCGUAAACGAUGAGUGCUAAGUGUUAGGGGGUUUCCGCCCCUUAGUGCUGCAGCUAACGCAUUAAGCACUCCGCCUGGGGAGUACGACCGCAAGGUUGAAACUCAAAGGAAUUGACGGGGACCCGCACAAGCGGUGGAGCAUGUGGUUUAAUUCGAAGCAACGCGAAGAACCUUACCAAAUCUUGACAUCCUUUGACAACUCUAGAGAUAGAGCCUUCCCCUUCGGGGGACAAAGUGACAGGUGGUGCAUGGUUGUCGUCAGCUCGUGUCGUGAGAUGUUGGGUUAAGUCCCGCAACGAGCGCAACCCUUAAGCUUAGUUGCCAUCAUUAAGUUGGGCACUCUAAGUUGACUGCCGGUGACAAACCGGAGGAAGGUGGGGAUGACGUCAAAUCAUCAUGCCCCUUAUGAUUUGGGCUACACACGUGCUACAAUGGACAAUACAAAGGGCAGCGAAACCGCGAGGUCAAGCAAAUCCCAUAAAGUUGUUCUCAGUUCGGAUUGUAGUCUGCAACUCGACUACAUGAAGCUGGAAUCGCUAGUAAUCGUAGAUCAGCAUGCUACGGUGAAUACGUUCCCGGGUCUUGUACACACCGCCCGUCACACCACGAGAGUUUGUAACACCCGAAGCCGGUGGAGUAACCUUUUAGGAGCUAGCCGUCGAAGGUGGGACAAAUGAUUGGGGUGAAGUCGUAACAAGGUAGCCGUAUCGGAAGGUGCGGCUGGAUCACCU